rnacentral:piRNA from 1 species
UGCAAACCAUGUUGGCUGGUACAUCAUC